UACGGAGGGUGCGAGCGUUGUCCGGAAUCACUGGGCGUAAAGGGCGCGUAGGUGGCGCGGGCAGUCAACGGUGAAAGUUCGGGGCUCAACCCUGAAUCGGCCGUCGAUACUCCCGUGCUUGAGCACUGUAGAGGCAGAUGGAAUUCCGGGUGUAGCGGUGGAAUGCGUAGAGAUCCGGAAGAACACCGGUGGCGAAGGCGGUCUGCUGGGCAGUCGCUGACACUGAGGCGCGACAGCGUGGGGAGCAAACAGG
rnacentral:rRNA from 1 species